rnacentral:rRNA from 1 species
UACGGAGGGUGCAAGCGUUGUCCGGAAUCACUGGGUGUAAAGGGUGUGUAGGCGGAACGAUAAGUCUAGGGUGAAAGCCCGCAGCUCAACUGCGGAACUGCCCUUGAUACUGUCGAUCUUGAGUCCCGGAGGGGUGGCUGGAAUUCGUGGUGUAGCGGUGAAAUGCGUAGAUAUCACGAGGAACACCUAAGGCGUAGGCAGGUCACUGGACGGGUACUGACGCUGAGGCACGAAAGUGUGGGGAGCAAACAGG